GCGGCUUCACCUCCCCGUUCUCCUCCCGGGAGGCCCCGCCGGCCUCUCGGGCCCCACCGAGACCGUGCCUCCUCCUCUCCUUCUCCCGCUUCUCCUUAGGUCUGCGCGACUUGGCGUUAGCCGAGGCAGCGGCGGCGGCGGCGGGCAGGAGGAGAUGGUGAGGCUGAGCGUGCAGCAGCGUAGGAGGGACCAGCAGUUUGCGCGGCACCGGCUGAGACAAGGAAGCGGAGGCUGAGGAGGGAACGGCCGUGCCAGCGGAGAAAGAGAAACUGCUCCGAGAAGAGGACGGGGAGGGAGCAGCAGACAGAGGGGCAAAGCUCCAAGACGCGGGGCUGCCAUAGCUCUGAGGCGAAGGUGCUGCCGGCGGCUGCAGCUGCCUGCUGUUCCCGCCGCUGCCCCCUUCUCCGUUCACUCUCCGCGGUGCCUUCUUCUCCUCAGUCCGGACCUUCUUGGCGGACAGAGAACCCGGAGGGUCCCGGGAGGAGAGUUGCAGCUUGCCAAACGGUUCUUUCUCCGAGACGGUGGCGGUGGGGGCCGCGGCAGCGACACAGUGCACGGGGCUCGGCGGUUCCGCCAUUUUGCGCUCCUGUUGUAUUUACUCUCCUCCGCUAGCCGGCGCGGGGCAGGGGGCGGGCCCUCCGCGAGGGGUAGGGAAGGGGCGGAGCGGCCAGGCCACCAGCCGGCAUUGCUCCAUUGGGCAAGCCACGCUGAGGGAUCCACCUAAGAGCCAAUCAAAGGCACAAACAUCAGACGAAGGGGCGGGAUCGCCACAGGGACCCUCUUCGGAGGUCAGAGCUCGGCGGGGUGCGGCUAGUGGCGGAGCGCGCUGCGAGGGGAGGGCUUUCCACUGUCGCUGGCGUGAACUCGCGUGCCCGGUGGGUAUCAGGGAAGAACCCCCGCCCCGGACCCCCAGAUCUGCCAUGGCCGAGGUAGCGAUCGUCUCUGCGGCCACGAAGACUGUUUUAACUUGUACCACUUUCCCUUCCAUUUUUCCUGGGGUGCCUCUCACCCUGCAUCUGCGCGUUCAGCAAGCUGGAUUUCGGGAAUGCUCAGUUCAGAAGAGAAAAAAUUGCCGGGAAUCAAGUCCUUCUUUUUGUUAGUCGGUAGUCGAUUGAUGGGAAGUGUUCAAAAUCAUUCGAUGUGGUGACAAGGCUUCACCAGGUACUGCCUUCUAACGAGCUGGCCAUUUCCACAUGUCAGAUAGGACCAACUUGCCUUUUAACUACCCGUGUGAUACUUAAACACUGUUGCCGGUAUCACAGCUUUUCUUCAAAACAGGGCAGUCAGUGAAGGCUCCCCAGGGGAGAUGACGUUUGAGCCGAGUUUCAGAAGAUGAUUGGAGUUUACCACGUGUUCACAGGAAGCAACGAGAAUGAGGGCAUUCCAGUAGCAGGAGACAGCAUGCAUAGAGAUGCUGAUGAAGAAAGAGCCUAGCGCACGUGGGAAACUGCAAAAGUUCAGACUGGUUGGAAUGCUGGAAAUGUUGUGAAUGACAGGAGAUGAGGCUGGCGAGAAAACAGAGGUCAGAUUGUGGAAGGCUGUCAAGCCAAAGACUUUGAUUUUAUUCUUGAGAUUGAUGAGAUGUGUGUAAUCCAGGAGUGUGCAAAACAAUCUGUAAGGGUUCAGAAAAC
rnacentral:lncRNA from 10 species